rnacentral:rRNA from 1 species
UACGUAGGGGGCAAGCGUUGUCCGGAUUUAUUGGGCGUAAAGAGCGUGUAGGCGGCUAGAUAGGUCCGUUGUGAAAACUGGAGGCUCAACCUCCAGCUGUCGAUGGAAACCAUCUGGCUAGAGUCCGGAAGAGGAGAGUGGAAUUCCCGGUGUAGCGGUGAAAUGCGCAGAUAUCGGGAAGAACACCCGUGGCGAAGGCGGUUCUCUGGGACGGUACUGACGCUGAGACGCGAAAGCGUGGGGAGCGAACAGG